GAAAAUUUGUUCUUUUAGUAUUUGUCGAGUAGGUUUUCUCAGUGAGGAAGCUCUC
rfam:Salmo salar isolate Sally breed double haploid chromosome ssa26, whole genome shotgun sequence.